rnacentral:rRNA from 1 species
UACGAAGGGUGCAAACGUUGCUCGGAAUCACUGGGCGUAAAGGGUGCGUAGGCGGGUCUUUAAGUCAGGGGUGAAAUCCUGGAGCUCAACUCCAGAACUGCCUUUGAUACUGAAGAUCUUGAGUUCGGGAGAGGUGAGUGGAACUGCGAGUGUAGAGGUGAAAUUCGUAGAUAUUCGCAAGAACACCAGUGGCGAAGGCGGCUCACUGGCCCGAUACUGACGCUGAGGCACGAAAGCGUGGGGAGCAAACAGG